rnacentral:rRNA from 1 species
UACGUAGGGUGCGAGCGUUAAUCGGAAUUACUGGGCGUAAAGCGUGCGCAGGCGGUUUGGUAAGACAGACGUGAAAUCCCCGGGCUUAACCUGGGAACUGCGUGUGUGACUGACAGACUAGAGUGUGGCAGAGGGGGGUAGAAUUCCACGUGUAGCGGUGAAAUGCGUAGAUAUGUGGAGGAAUACCAAUGGCGAAGGCAGCCCCCUGGGUUAACACUGACGCUCAUGCGCGAAAGCGUGGGGAGCAAACAGG